CCGAUCUCCGAUUUCCAGCGCCUCGUUAAUAGAGUGCGUAAUGAAGACGGCUGUCUUUCCGUUCUCCUUCACGAGCUUGACGAACUCAGCACGCAGUUUGCGGGCUGUCAUUUCAUCCAACGCCGAGAAGGGCUCGUCGCAGAGCAAAAUGUUCGCAUUUGUAGCGAAUGCACGUGCGAUAGACACACGCUGGCGCAUACCACCUGACAGCGCAUGAGGAUAAUCAUUCUCAUGCCC
rnacentral:misc_RNA from 1 species